ensembl:snRNA U6 U6 spliceosomal RNA
GUGCUUGCCUCAGCAGCACAUGUACCAAAAUUGGAAUGAUACAAAGAUUAGCAUGGUCCCUGUGCAAAGAUAACAGGCACAUUCAUGAAGCAUUCCAUUCAUAC